rnacentral:tRNA from 1 species
UCCCUGGUGGCUCAGAUGGUAAAGCAUCUGUCUGCAAUGUGGAAGACCCUGGUUCAAUCCCUGAUUUGGGAA